AGUGCUCAUCAUGGGGUAUAAAAAGGCUCGGAAGAAACGAGAGCAGCGCAUCUUGCACUCAGCCUGCACCGAGACAGCACACUCCUCUCUGUCCCAAGAUGAAGCUGAUCUCCUUCUUGGUGGCCAUGGUGGCGGCCCUAGCGUGCUUCUUGGGGUCCGCUCGCGCCAUGCCCGACGCCCUCGCAUUGGCUGACCCUGACCCCGUGGCUGGCCCUGACCCCGUGGCUGACCCUGACCCUUGGGGACAUGGGGGGCGUAGGUAUGGUUAUGGGGGCUAUGGUUUCCGUAGUCAUUACAGACGCUGGUAGAAAAGGUCAUGCCCAGCUACAGUGACCUCACAGAUUUAGGAUCGACCUUGUAUCAACACCCGUUGCUAUGGCAGUUUUCAUCACAAAACAAAAUAUCCAAUUUGAUAUAGCUGAAUAAAAAGAAUUAAAUCCA